rnacentral:rRNA from 1 species
AUACGGAGGGUGCAAGCGUUAUCCGGAAUCACUGGGUUUAAAGGGUGCGUAGGCGGUUUGAUAAGUCAGAGGUGAAAGCUAGCAGCUUAACUGUUAAAUUGCCUUUGAUACUGUCAGACUUGAAUCAAGUUGAGGUAGGCGGAAUGUGACAUGUAGCGGUGAAAUGCUUAGAUAUGUCAUAGAACACCGAUUGCGAAGGCAGCUUACUGGGCCUGAAUUGACGCUGAGGCACGAAAGCGUGGGGAUC